GAUGAAGAACGUAGCGAAAUGCGAUAAGUAGUGUGAAUUGCAGAAUUCAGUGAAUCAUCGAAUCUUUGAACGCACAUUGCGCCCCUUGGUAUCCCGAGGGGCAUGCCUGUUCGAGCGUCAUUUCACCACUCAAGCCCGGCUUGGUGUUGGGCGACGUCCUCUUUGGGGACGCGCCUCGAAACGCUCGGCGGCGUGGCACCGGCUUUAAGCGUAGCAGAAUCUUUCGCUUUGGAAGUCGGGGCCCCGUCUGCCGGAAGACCUGCUCGCAAGGUUGACCUCGGAUCAGGCAGGGAUACCCGCUGAACUUAAGCAUAUCAAUAAGCGGAGGA
rnacentral:misc_RNA from 1 species